AACCCUUGUAAAAUAUUAAUUAAUUAACUUUUUUAUACAUCGGUCAACUAAUUGGUGACCGGUCAACAACUGGUGCAUUUACCUUAAUUGUUUUCUAACUUA